rnacentral:rRNA from 1 species
AUUGAACGCUGGCGGCAGGCCUAACACAUGCAAGUCGAGCGGAUGAAGGGAGCUUGCUCCUGGAUUCAGCGGCGGACGGGUGAGUAAUGCCUAGGAAUCUGCCUGGUAGUGGGGGAUAACGUCCGGAAACGGGCGCUAAUACCGCAUACGUCCUGAGGGAGAAAGUGGGGGAUCUUCGGACCUCACGCUAUCAGAUGAGCCUAGGUCGGAUUAGCUAGUUGGUGGGGUAAAGGCCUACCAAGGCGACGAUCCGUAACUGGUCUGAGAGGAUGAUCAGUCACACUGGAACUGAGACGCGGUCCAGACUCCUACGGGAGGCAGCAGUGGGGAAUAUUGGACAAUGGGCGAAAGCAUGAUACAGCCAUGCCGAGUGUGUGAAGAAGGUCUUCGGAUUGUAAAGCACUUUAAGUUGGGAGGAAGGGCAGUAAGUUAAUACCUUGCUGUUUUGACGUUACCAACAGAAUAAGCACCGGCUAACUUCGUG